CAGGCUUAACACAUGCAAGUCGAGGGGCAGCAUGGUCUUAGCUUGCUAAGGCCGAUGGCGACCGGCGCACGGGUGAGUAACACGUAUCCAACCUGCCGUCUACUCUUGGACAGCCUUCUGAAAGGAAGAUUAAUACAAGAUGGCAUCAUGAGUCCGCAUGUUCACAUGAUUAAAGGUAUUCCGGUAGACGAUGGGGAUGCGUUCCAUUAGAUAGUAGGCGGGGUAACGGCCCACCUAGUCUUCGAUGGAUAGGGGUUCUGAGAGGAAGGUCCCCCACAUUGGAACUGAGACACGGUCCAAACUCCUACGGGAGGCAGCAGUGAGGAAUAUUGGUCAAUGGGCGAGAGCCUGAACCAGCCAAGUAGCGUGAAGGAUGACUGCCCUAUGGGUUGUAAACUUCUUUUAUAAAGGAAUAAAGUCGGGUAUGGAUACCCGUUUGCAUGUACUUUAUGAAUAAGGAUCGGCUAACUCCGUGCCAGCAGCCGCGGUAAUACGGAGGAUCCGAGCGUUAUCCGGAUUUAUUGGGUUUAAAGGGAGCGUAGAUGGAUGUUUAAGUCAGUUGUGAAAGUUUGCGGCUCAACCGUAAAAUUGCAGUUGAUACUGGAUAUCUUGAGUGCAGUUGAGGCAGGCGGAAUUCGUGGUGUAGCGGUGAAAUGCUUAGAUAUCACGAAGAACUCCGAUUGCGAAGGCAGCCUGCUAAGCUGCAACUGACAUUGAGGCUCGAAAGUGUGGGUAUCAAACAGGAUUAGAUACCCUGGUAGUCCACACGGUAAACGAUGAAUACUCGCUGUUUGCGAUAUACUGCAAGCGGCCAAGCGAAAGCGUUAAGUAUUCCACCUGGGGAGUACGCCGGCAACGGUGAAACUCAAAGGAAUUGACGGGGGCCCGCACAAGCGGAGGAACAUGUGGUUUAAUUCGAUGAUACGAGAGGAACCUUACCCGGGCUUAAAUUGCAGAUGAAUUACGGUGAAAGCCGUAAGCCGCAAGGCAUCUGUGAAGGUGCUGCAUGGUUGUCGUCAGCUCGUGCCGUGAGGUGUCGGCUUAAGUGCCAUAACGAGCGCAACCCUUGUUGUCAGUUACUAACAGGUUCCGCUGAGGACUCUGACAAGACUGCCAUCGUAAGAUGUGAGGAAGGUGGGGAUGACGUCAAAUCAGCACGGCCCUUACGUCCGGGGCUACACACGUGUUACAAUGGGGGGUACAGAGGGCCGCUACCACGCGAGUGGAUGCCAAUCCCCAAAACCUCUCUCAGUUCGGACUGGAGUCUGCAACCCGACUCCACGAAGCUGGAUUCGCUAGUAAUCGCGCAUCAGCCACGGCGCGGUGAAUACGUUCCCGGGCCUUGUACACACCGCCCGUCAAGCCAUGGGAGCCGGGGGUACCUGAAGUGCGUAACCGCGAGGAGCGCCCUAGGGUAAAACUGGUGACUGGGGCUA
rnacentral:rRNA from 1 species